rnacentral:rRNA from 1 species
GGAAUCUUCCACAAUGGACGAAAGUCUGAUGGAGCAACGCCGCGUGAGUGAUGAAGGGUUUCGGCUCGUAAAACUCUGUUGUUGGAGAAGAACAGGUGUCAGAGUAACUGUUGACAUCUUGACGGUAUCCAACCAGAAAGCCACGGCUAACUACGUGCCAGCAGCCGCGGUAAUACGUAGGUGGCAAGCGUUGUCCGGAUUUAUUGGGCGUAAAGCGAGCGCAGGCGGUUUUUUAGGUCUGAUGUGAAAGCCUUCGGCUUAACCGGAGAAGUGCAUCGGAAACCGGGAGACUUGAGUGCAGAAGAGGACAGUGGAACUCCAUGUGUAGCGGUGAAAUGCGUAGAUAUAUGGAAGAACACCAGUGGCGAAGGCGGCUGUCUGGUCUGUAACUGACGCUGAGGCUCGAAAGCAUGGGUAGCGAACA